rnacentral:rRNA from 1 species
UAGGGAAUCUUCCGCAAUGGGCGAAAGCCUGACGGAGCAACGCCGCGUGAGUGAUGAAGGUCUUCGGAUCGUAAAACUCUGUUAUUAGGGAAGAACAAAUGUGUAAGUAACUAUGCACGUCUUGACGGUACCUAAUCAGAAAGCCACGGCUAACUACGUGCCAGCAGCCGCGGUAAUACGUAGGUGGCAAGCGUUAUCCGGAAUUAUUGGGCGUAAAGCGCGCGUAGGCGGUUUUUUAAGUCUGAUGUGAAAGCCCACGGCUCAACCGUGGAGGGUCAUUGGAAACUGGAAAACUUGAGUGCAGAAGAGGAAAGUGGAAAUCCAUGUGUAGCGGUGAAAUGCGCAGAGAUAUGGAGGAACACCAGUGGCGAAGGCGACUUUCUGGUCUGUAACUGACGCUGAUGUGCGAAAGCGUGGGGAUCAAACA